CUUCAAAUCGGAUCCGAGUCGGGUUCGGGUUCGAAUCGGAUCCAUUUCUUUUGAGCCUUUGGAAAAUAAUUUUUGGCAAAUCUAAAUUUGCCAUAAGGUGCUGGGUGACCCAUGACUUGAAAGAAUUGCACUUGACCUCUAGCCAGAAUAGAUGACCCGUCCGUCUACAAGCAAAAUUUCAUAUCAUACUAUAUGACUAAUCGGAUGGAACUUGAUGUCUCCCAUAUCCUCC
rnacentral:lncRNA from 1 species